AGAGUUUGAUCCUGGCUCAGGACGAACGCUGGCGGCGCGCCUAACACAUGCAAGUCGAACGGAGCUGAGAGGAGCUUGCUUUUCUUAGCUUAGUGGCGAACGGGUGAGUAACGCGUGAGUAACCUGCCCUGGAGUGGGGGACAACAGUUGGAAACGACUGCUAAUACCGCAUAAGCCCACGGCCCGGCAUCGGGCUGUGAGAAAAGGAUUUAUUCGCUUCAGGAUGGACUCGCGUCCAAUUAGCUAGUUGGUGAGGUAACGGCCCACCAAGGCGACGAUUGGUAGCCGGACUGAGAGGUAGAACGGCCACAUUGGGACUGAGACACGGCCCAGACUCCUACGGGAGGCAGCAGUGGGGGAUAUUGCACAAUGGGGGAAACCCUGAUGCAGCGACGCCGCGUGGAGGAAGAAGGUUUUCGGAUUGUAAACUCCUGUCGUUAGGGACGAAUCAUGACGGUACCUAACAAGAAAGCACCGGCUAACUACGUGCCAGCAGCCGCGGUAAAACGUAGGGUGCAAGCGUUGUCCGGAAUUACUGGGUGUAAAGGGAGCGCAGGCGGACCGGCAAGUUGGAAGUGAAAACCAUGGGCUCAACCCAUGAAUUGCUUUCAAAACUGCUGGCCUUGAGUAGUGCAGAGGUAGGUGGAAUUCCCGGUGUAGCGGUGGAAUGCGUAGAUAUCGGGAGGAACACCAGUGGCGAAGGCGACCUACUGGGCACCAACUGACGCUGAGGCUCGAAAGCAUGGGUAGCAAACAGGAUUAGAUACCCUGGUAGUCCAUGCCGUAAACGAUGAUUACUAGGUGUUGUGGGAUUUGUCCCCGUUUCAAUGCCGCAGAGAACACAAAGAAGUAAUCCGGUGGGGGGGUGCGGCGGCAAGGUUGUAUGUCAAAGGAAUUGACGGGGGCCCGCACAAGCAGUGGAGUAUGUGGUCUAAUUCGAAGCAACGGGAAGAACCUUACCAGGUCUUGACAUCCGAUGCAUAGUGCAGAGAUGCAUGAAGUCCUACGGGACAUCGAGACAGGUGGUGCAUGGUUGUCGUCAGCUCGUGUCGUGAGAUGUUGGGUUAAGUCCCGCAACGAGCGCAACCCUUAUUGCCAGUUACUACGCAAGAGGACUCUGGCGAGACUGCCGUUGACAAAACGGAGGAAGGUGGGGAUGACGUCAAAUCAUCAUGCCCUUUAUGACCUGGGCUACACACGUACUACAAUGGCGUUUAACAAAGAGAAGCAAGACCGCGAGGUGGAGCAAAACUCAGAAACAACGUCUUAGUUCAGAUUGCAGGCUGCAACUCGCCUGCAUGAAGUCGGAAUUGCUAGUAAUCGCGGAUCAGCAUGCCGCGGUGAAUACGUUCCCGGGCCUUGCACUCACCGCCCGUCA
rnacentral:rRNA from 1 species